UAAGGAAUAUUGCUCAAUGGGAGAAAUCCUGAAGCAGCAACGCCGCGUGGAGGAUGAAGGGUCUAUGACUUGUAAACUCCUGUAAAGAAGGAAAAAAUUCCCAUUUGAUGGGAGAUGAUGGUACUUCUGGAGUAAGCCCCGGCUAACUACGUGCCAGCAGCCGCGGUAAUACGUAGGGGGCAAGCGUUGUCCGGAUUUACUGGGUGUAAAGGGUGCUCAGGCGGAUUUGUAAGUCAGAGGUGAAAUCUCACAGCUUAACUGUGAAACUGCCUUUGAUACUGCAAGCCUAGAGUAUGGAAGAGAGUGAUGGAAUAUCUGGUGUAGCAGUGAAAUGCGUAGAUAUCAGAUAGAACACCAAUGGCGAAGGCAGUCACUUGGUCCAUUACUGACGCUAAAGCACGAAAGCGUGGGUAGCAAACA
rnacentral:rRNA from 1 species